UUCCACGCGUACCCAUCCCGAACACGACCGUUAAGCCCUCCAGCGCCGAUGGUACUUGGACCGAAGGGUCCUGGGAGAGUAGGACGCCGCCAAGC
rnacentral:rRNA from 1 species